GCAGACACAUUACAGCCAAUCAGCAGCAGACCCUCCCUCCCAUACCCUCCCACCUCCUGGACAGCUCACUAAGAAUGCAGCUUCACAAUGAAUGUAAAAUGGAUGCUGUCCAGGAGGUGGGAGGGUCUGGGAGGGAGGGUCUGCUGCUGAUUGGCUGGAAUGUGUCU
rnacentral:miRNA from 1 species